AGAGUUUGAUCCUGGCUCAGGAUGAACGCUGGCGGUAUGCCUUAUACAUGCAAGUCGUACGAGAGUUUUUAACUCUAGUGGCGGACGGGUGAGUAACACGUAAGAAUUUGCCUUUAGGAGGGGGACAACAACUGGAAACGGUUGCUAAUACCCCAUAUGCUUUCAAGUGAAAUGGAUUUCCGCCUAAAGAGAAGCUUGCGGCUGAUUAGCUUGUUGGUAGGGUAAUGGCCUACCAAGGCGACGAUCAGUAUCUGGUUUGAGAGGACGAUCAGACACACUGGAACUGAGACACGGUCCAGACUCCUACGGGAGGCAGCAGUAGGGAAUUUUCCGCAAUGGGCGAAAGCCUGACGGAGCAAUACCGCGUGAGGGAUGACUGCCUAUGGGUUGUAAACCUCUUUUUUCAGGGAGGAAUAAAUGACGUGUACCUGAAGAAUAAGCAUCGGCUAACUCCGUGCCAGCAGCCGCGGUAAGACGGAGGAUGCAAGUGUUAUCCGGAAUCACUGGGCGUAAAGCGUCUGUAGGUGGCUCGACAAGUCAACUGUUAAAUCUUGAAGCUCAACUUCAAAAUCGCAGUCGAAACUAUCGGACUAGAGUAUAGUAGAGGUAAAGGGAAUUUCCAGUGGAGCGGUGAAAUGCGUAGAGAUUGGAAAGAACACCGAUGGCGAAGGCACUUUACUGGGCUAUUACUGACACUCAGAGACGAAAGCUAGGGUAGCAAAUGGGAUUAGAUACCCCAGUAGUCCUAGCCGUAAACAAUGGAUACUAGGUGUUGAACAGAUCGACCUGUGCAGUACCAAAGCUAACGCGUUAAGUAUCCCGCCUG
rnacentral:rRNA from 1 species